CAAGUACUCCCUCCGUCUGGAAUUACUUGUCAUCAAAAUGGAUGUGUCUAGAACUAAAAUACAUCUAGAUACAUCCAUUUCAAUGACAAGUCUUUUCGGACGGAGGGAGUACAAG
rfam:Triticum aestivum genome assembly, contig: Triticum_aestivum_CS42_TGACv1_scaffold_049601_1BS